rnacentral:rRNA from 1 species
UACGUAGGUGGCAAGCGUUGUCCGGAUUUAUUGGGCGUAAAGGGAGCGCAGGCGGUGACUUAAGUCUGAUGUGAAAGCCCACGGCUCAACCGUGGAAGGUCAUUGGAAACUGGGUCACUUGAAUAUAGAAGAGGAAAGUGGAAUUCCAUGUGUAGCGGUGAAAUGCGUAGAUAUAUGGAGGAACACCAGUGGCGAAGGCGACUUUCUGGUCUAUUAUUGACGCUGAGGCUCGAAAGCAUGGUGUAGCAAACAGGAUUAGA